rnacentral:rRNA from 1 species
AGGACGAACGCUGGCGGCGUGCUUAACACAUGCAAGUCGAGCGGAAAGGCCCUUCGGGGUACUCGAGCGGCGAACGGGUGAGUAACACGUGAGUAAUCUGCCCUUAGCUCUGGGAUAGCUCCGGGAAACCGGGAUUAAUACCAGAUAUGACCACUUUAGACAUCUUUUGUGGUGGAAAGAAUUUCGGCUGGGGAUGAACUCGCGGCCUAUCAGCUUGUUGGUGAGGUAAUGGCUCACCAAGGCGACGACGGGUAGCCGGCCUGAGAGGGCGACCGGCCACACUGGGACUGAGACACGGCCCAGACUCCUACGGGAGGCAGCAGUGGGGAUAUUGCGCAAUGGGCGAAAGCCUGACGCAGCGACGCCGCGUGGGGGAUGAAGGCCUUCGGGUUGUAAACCCCUUUCAGCAGGGACGAAGCGAAGUGACGGUACCUGCAGAGAAGCGCGGCUAACUACGUGCCAGCAGCCGC